CAGCCGCCACGGUAAUACGUAGGUGGCAAGCGUUAUCCGGAAUUAUUGGGCGUAAAGCGCGCGUAGGCGGUUUCUUAAGUCUGAUGUGAAAGCCCACGGCUCAACCGUGGAGGGUCAUUGGAAACUGGGAAACUUGAGUGCAGAAGAGGAAAGUGGAAUUCCAUGUGUAGCGGUGAAAUGCGCAGAGAUAUGGAGGAACACCAGUGGCGAAGGCGACUUUCUGGUCUGUAACUGACGCUGAUGUGCGAAAGCGUGGGGAUCAAACAGGAUUAGAUACCCCCGUAGUCCCUGUCUCUUAUAC
rnacentral:rRNA from 1 species